GGGCUCGCUUUGGCAGUACGUGCACUAGAACUAGAGCCACGCCGAGAAGAUUAGCACGGCCCCUGCGCAAGGAUGACACACGCGCGCCCUGGAACAGUCACAGUUCUG